GGACUUAUAGCUCAGUUGGUUAGAGCGCUACAUUGACAUUGUAGAGGUCUGCAGUUCGAGUCUGCAUAAGUCCA
rfam:Parcubacteria (Moranbacteria) bacterium GW2011_GWE2_36_40 TS16_C0037, whole genome shotgun sequence.